GCGUCGGUGGUGCAGCGGCUAGCACACGCUCCCGGAACGAGUGAGAUCUGGGUUCGAAUCCCUGCUGUCGCA